rnacentral:rRNA from 1 species
AAUGAACGCUAGCGACGGGCCUAACACAUGCAAGUCGAGGGGUAACGAUGGUAGCUUGCUACCAGGCGACGACCGGCGCACGGGUGAGUAACGCGUAUGCAACCUUCCUUUAACAGGAGAAUAGCCCCCGGAAACGGGGAUUAAUGCUCCAUAGUAAUUAUUUGCCACCUGACAGAUAAUUUAAAGUUCCGACGGUUAAAGAUGGGCAUGCGUGACAUUAGCCAGUUGGCGGGGUAACGGCCCACCAAAGCAACGAUGUCUAGGGGUUCUGAGAGGAAGGUCCCCCACACUGGUACUGAGACACGGACCAGACUCCUACGGGAGGCAGCAGUGAGGAAUAUUGGUCAAUGGACGCAAGUCUGAACCAGCCAUGUCGCGUGCAGGAUGACUGCCCUAUGGGUUGUAAACUGCUUUUGUACGGGAAGAAAUAUAGCUACGUGUAGUUAUUUGCCGGUACCGUACGAAUAAGCAUCGGCUAACUCCGUG